GGGCUUAUAGCUCAGUGGUAGAGCAUACGACUGCAGUACUGCUAUCGUGUGGUCCCGUGUUCAACUCACGGUGGGCCCU